UCAUGGCCACCCUCCUCAUGGCCACCACCCUCAUGACCACCACCCACCUGGCCCAGGAAUGAGACCAGGAGGACCCGGCUGCCAGCCCCCACCACCUGGUUGCCAUCCUCCUCCUCCUCCUCCAUUCGGUCAUCACUAGCAUCACAGACAUGGUCCUGGACACCACUGCCAUAAGGGAUUACAUAUUUCAUGGCAUUGAGGUCAUUUAUUCAGCAAACAGCACGUGACUGGUGUGCUCAACUGAGUUCCAGGACCUCUCUACCUUCGUCAGAUGCAUUCAGAUAAGAAGAUCUGGGUUUGAAUUCUGCCUCUGGCACCUGGGAAAGUCACUUCACCCAUGUCUGCCUCACUUUCCUCAUCUGUCAAAUGGGGAUGAUAAAAGCUCUUACUUCAUAGCAUUGCUGUAAGGAGGAAAUGAGCUAAUAAAUAGAAAGUACUAUGUGAA